CCUCCCUUUUUUCAACCAAACACCUUAAUCCAAACAACCCUACUAGCAAAAUUAUGGUCGAGUAUCUUCUGCAGAGAUCAUCGGGAGCCGUUGAUACGUUACCUGCCAGCCUGCCAGUGUACCAUCCGAUCAGCCAUUCAAUUGAUAGCCGUUAGAUUGUUUCGGGAACUCAAUAAAUACCAAAUCACACGGGUACCCAAAGGCCUUUAUCUUUCAUCCAUCCUCCUCCACAGCCCAACCCUUCUUCAAGAACCGUUCAUCUUUAUCUCCUCAUAUGUUCUUCUCAGUCUAGUUUUUAUUUGCACUUUCCUCGGAUCUUUAUUGAUCGUUUCACGAUCUUCAUUUUGAUCAUGGAUUCAUAUCGUUCGACGAAGGUUUUGUCCUCUGUUGUCUAUUUCUUAAUUUCGGGAAGUCCCUCGACAGGUUAAUUGAAAUUAUUCGUUUAUUUGAAGGUUUUCAAUAGAUCUGUUUCUAUUAGAUGUGAAAAACUAUAAUUCUUGUGCUGAUUUGAUUAUAUUGUAUGCUCAGUUGAUCGAUUUGCGAUCUUUAUUUUGACGCUUGAUGCAUUUUAUCCCUGCGAAGGCUUCAUUUAAAACAGAUCUUCUAUUAGAUGUAAAUUUUCUAUCUAUCCUUAUUAGAUUCCUGCUUGUGUUAUAUCCGGUUAGCGGUGGUUUCGAUUCAUUAUUAGAUGUGCUCUGUUCGCGUUCUCGUGGGUGUGUUUGCUUCCGGAUUUGCGGAGUUUACUGAAACUCUCAAAUUGCUUGAAGGCGUGAUGGAUUAGAAGGUAGGGAUAUUUAUACCGCAUGAUCUUUUCUCUCCGUGAUGGUUUUUCGCUGCUGCGUUUUCUAAUAUAUGCUACACCCAUAUUCACGCGACGAUCUCCGUUCUGAUGAUGUCGUUGUAUUCGGAUAAGCGACAUAGAGAAAUCUGUGCCUCCGGACCAGAUCUGUGGAUGAAUCUUUGAUCUGGUCGACGCAGAUCCGCGAACGGUCAAAUGAACUGCGCGUAUCUAUAGAUCUGGUGGUGUCUGGCAUAUAAGGAUUUUUUUUAUGCUAUAUUAUUGUUUGAUGAUUAUACGAUGAUGCGAUUUCAUAUAUUUCUGUGAAGAAAGGAGGGAGGAUGAUCGAGAGCGCUUAGAACAAUUGUAUGGUGCUCCAUAUGUGAACUGUAUGUGUUUCUCAUCCGACCGUUGCCAUGUCAGGUGCGCUUGCAUGGCAGGUCAAAGUGUUAAUAAAAAAUUUCUCUUUUUUGUUUUGGGGAAGAUGGCACGGGGAUUUUGCCCGGCUCUCCCCAUUUGCGUGUCGUGGUUCUUUUUCUUUUUUCUUUUUCAAAAUUUUCCUUUCAUAGUUUUGGCUUGCCAAAUAUUCGUAUAUGGUCCUUGAUAGUACUUUCUUCCUCAUUUAAUCCACGUUCGAACAAGUAGAAUUCACGCUAACUUGAUUCUGAUAUAGAGAGGCUGCUGCAAUACUGAAUGGUUUGGAUUCCUGUUUCCACGCACAGAAGAAGGUAAAUGAUGUUGCUCUUUCAUCCAUAUUCUGUAUAAAGGUGUCUGCAAAUGCCACAAUCUUCAUUUCACUUUCAUUUCCCUGAUUCUAGACUUACCAUACCAAAGUUCUAUAGUCUUGGCUAAAUAUGCUAUGCCUGGUUCAUUCAGUUCCGCAUUGCACUACUCUGAAGUGAAAAAAAAAAAAUCAUGUUAUCUUCAACUUCAAGUGCAUGUCUUGCAAGCGCUUUGUGAUGAUAUUAUCUUAGUUCAUUGAGACUUCAUAAGUGUGAAAUUUACGUAAACAAUCUUGCGCCAACCUUCGAAUGUGGUUUAUUCUGUACACUAUUGAAUUCAAUUAUUGUAUAGAUUUGUUUUUCUUUCAAAAUAAUCUGUCACCAAGAAUUUAUUCUAUUUCAAAUGUCAAAUGGAUGUUCAUGAAAUAUUGGAGUAUGCCCUUUUGUUUGUUAUUUGGUCUAAAAGGUUUGGUUCUCUUGAUGUUGUCACAGGAGUGGUUGUGUGUUUUGCUUGUACUAUUAUGAUGGUUGGUACUUGGUGUCCUGUAGAGGCGGGAGUUAUAAUCAUCCAAGGGGUAGAUACUUCAAUUUUUAUUUUUAUUUUUGGAUUACGCAUCGAAUUUUCACGUGUCUAUUUUACGAUUCACGUGUCUAAUCUCGCGCCCCUUGAAGCCAAUCCCACAACUCCAAAGAGAGAUAAAUUUCAGGAAUCCAGGAGGAAAAACGAACCCGAAAUGAUUUGAACACCUUAUCUUAUGAGAGAUUAAAUUUGUUAUCGAUGAAGUGGAUGAAAGGCCAUGAAAUUGGUAAGCUUGCCAACUCGCGGCUGGCUCGUGGUUUCUUUGCUUUGAACUGGACACGCUUCAGAUUGGACAGGCCGAGUGGUGUGGCGCAGGAUGAAGAUGAGUGAAAACUGGUUUUGGUGAGUUGAAGUUGCGUGCGAGUGCUAGAAGAUCUGUCUGUUGCUUUAUUAAGGACUGCCCUAGCUCAAUUGGUUCAGUGCUUUGUGGCGAAAGGGUUGCUCCAACUACAAAUGUUCCAGAUGUCUUGCGGUGGAUGAAAGGUAUAUGGAGAGAUCCACCCUAACAAUUAGUAUCAAAGCGAGGAUGGAACAAAAUUGCCAGAUCGAAGCAAAAUCGUUGGUUCGGAACAUCUGUAAAGUAUUUAAAAAUUGCAUUUUGAAGUCAUCAUCACAUUCCUCUCGUCGAGACAAAGUCAACGAUGGUAAUCGGAGCUCAAAUGACGCAUGCACCUGCACGUGCCAUCGAUGGCCAGGCGUCUUUCCCACGCGCCCUAAUGCGUCGGUAGGUUGUCGGCAAGUGGACUCACUCUCUAAUGCUCUAAAGAUUGCCCAGUGAGUGUCUGAAGGUCGAAGACGCUAACAUCAAAGGGACUAUGGAGGUGACUUGACGUGACUAUUGGUUUGACAUCGGAUGAUGACGGUUGCACGUCGUCAGGAAUAGACAAACGAGUUUGGUUUGCCGAUGAAGAAGGUGGUGCUCUUUGCAUGGUUGCCUCAAUCAAAUUCGUGUCAAGGUGGAGGUAUGGACUUACAAAAUUUUUAUGAAAAAUGCUGAGAGUUUAAAAAAAUUUUGAGGAAAAAAAUUGAAUUUAUAAGAGUAAGGAAAAUGGGUGAAAUUAUAAUUUUUUUAAUAAAAAUACAGGAAUGGAUGUGGGAGAAACGGUAUGAGAUGAGGAUGUGAAUAUAUGUGUGGAAAAUGAGAGUGCGCGGUGACACUCAUUUAAUUAAUUAAUUAAAUUAAUUAAUGAAUUAUUUUUUUAAUAGAAAUUAUUACAUUUUU